rnacentral:lncRNA from 1 species
AUUUCAGUUUAAGUCUGCAAGUAGGAAAAGACUAAUGACCCAGCUCAGUCAGGCAGAAGGAGUUCCUUCUAUUUCCCAGGAAGAUUAAAGAACAAGGAGAUGGCUGGCUAUUUAAGAAGGAAAGGCAGAGGCUGCAGAAAUUGAGCCUAACGGCUUAUCAGAUGGGAUGGAUAAUUCUUUAAGUUUAAAAGAACUACUCAUUUUCCCCAACAUCUGUCUUUGCCAUCUUCCUAUCUAAGGAACCUUUCACUUUUUAGCUGGGGACAUAGCUUUCUGGUAUGAGAACUACACUGCUCAAACUUCCAAUCAGCUUGUAUGCACUUGGUGAAUCUUACCUACCACAAACAGAAGUCUGGAAAGUGAAAAUUUAUUUCCUUUUCACCAUGACCAGCCUUGUUCAGAACAUCUGAGAGGCACAGACCUGAGAAAGAAUCCCCAGGCUGAAGAGGUAGAAGUUGGCAGAAGUUAAAAGCAAUGUCUCCACAAUGGAGAAGUGACAUGCUAAAGGAACCUGGCAUCUAGACAUUUCCUAACCCCCAAUCCCUCCUUACAUAUGACCUGCUCUUAGAGGAGUACAGCGUGGUGGUUAGGAGUGUGGACUCGGCAGCCAGAAAUCCUGGGAUCUGUUGCUUGUUAGCUGUGGGCCUUAAGCUAAGAACUUAACCUCUCUGUGCCUCAGUUGCUCCAUCUGUUCAAAUGAAGAUAAUGAUAAUGAAGAUGAUAUCACCUGCUGUGUAGGAUUGUUAUGAAAAAUCAAGAAUUAAUAUUUGUAAAUCACUUACAGGGUCUGGCACAUAAUAAGUGCUGUGUGGGUGUUUGUUAAAUAAAAUAAUAUACAAUGACAUAGGCAUUGUGGUUGUUCUUCCUAGUCUCCUAAAGAAGCAGUUGUUUCUGAAACCUUCCCAAACUCAAAUAUAGCUGAAGUUGCUCAAAAUAUCAUGUGAAAAUCCCUCCUCUUCACCAGCCCCUCCACUGUAGAGGCUUCUUUGUGCUCACAGAAGCCCUAUAUUUCAGUGGUCUGUUCUGGAUGUCUAAACUUCUCAUAAGAAGUGAUAUUUUAUGGGGCCCGGUGCAGUGGCUCACGCCUGUAAUCUUAGCACUUUGGGAAGCCGAGGCAGGUGGAUCAUUUGAGGUCA